UAUGUGAUCGUCUCUCGCAUAUCAAUAAGCGGAGGAAAAGAAACUAACAAGGAUUCCCCUAGUAACGGCGAGUGAAGCGGGAAGAGCUCAAAUUUGAAAUCAUAAAGGGUUUCCCCUUACGAAUUGUAGUUUAAAGAAGUGUUUUCUGUUGAGGUUUUGGUAAAAGUUCUUUGGAAUAGGACAUCAUAGAGGGUGAGAAUCCCGUAUUUGACCUUUACUUUCAACUUUGUGAUACACUUUCAAAGAGUCGGAAUUGUUUGGGAAUGCAGUCCAAAAUGGGUGGUAAAUUUCAUCUAAAGCUAAAUAUUGGCGAGAGACCGAUAGCGAACAAGUACCGUGAGGGAAAGAUGAAAAGAACUUUGAAAAGAGAGUUAAACAGUACGUGAAAUUGUCAAAAGGGAAGCGUUUGACACCAGUGUUGUUUUUCUGAAAAUCAAUUAAAGAACUGUUUAUGCUAAGCUGUUUAGACUUUAUCAGCUAUCUGUUUAGUUUUGAGCUUUUCUUUAAUGCACUUUUCAGUUAACAAGUCAACAUCAAUUUCUUUUGCUGUAAAAAAGCUUGAGGAAGGUGGCUUGAGAUUCGUCUUAAGUGUUUAUAGCCUCUUGCCUAUGCAGUCGGAGAGGUUGAGGUCUGCAGCGUAGAUCCUUCGGGGCUAAAUGCAUUUGUGCUAAGUUAUAGCAUUUUAUAGACAACUUGUUGACUAUGAUUUGUCUUGUAGCUUACUCGCUUAUGUUAUUUUACCUACGCUUAGGAUGUUGAAGACUCUACAGAGAUA
rnacentral:rRNA from 1 species